AAGUCGUAACAAGGUCUCCGUAGGUGAACCUGCGGAGGGAUCAUUAACACAAGUGAGCAGCACCAGCGAGCGGGUGACUCCCAACAGAGCACCAACGCUGGUGAUGACACUUUUCUCAACACCCAUCUCACGUGAACUACUAUGACCCUUUUUUUGUCCCACUUCGCAGCGUGCGAGCGAUCGCUUGCUGUGAUGGUUUUUCAUUUUUGCAAUGAAACUCUUUCCAAUGUUUUUCAACACUUGUAACUGUGCUGGAGUGUGAGUGUGUGUGUGUCUAGUGCCAACUAGCUCGCUCGCCUCUGCUCUGCAACUAUUACGAACUACAAUCGAGUACAACUCUUAGCAACGGAUAUCUUGGUUCUC
rnacentral:misc_RNA from 1 species